ACUCCUACGGGAGGCAGCAGUGGGGAAUAUUGCACAAUGGGCGCAAGCCUGAUGCAGCCAUGCCGCGUGUGUGAAGAAGGCCUUCGGGUUGUAAAGCACUUUCAGCAGUGAGGAAGGCGGGUAUGUUAAUAGCAUAUUCGUUUGACGUUAGCUGCAGAAGAAGCACCGGCUAACUCCGUGCCAGCAGCCGCGGUAAUACGGAGGGUGCGAGCGUUAAUCGGAAUUACUGGGCGUAAAGCGCAUGCAGGUGGUUGUUAAGUCAGAUGUGAAAGCCCGGGGCUCAACCUCGGAAUAGCAUUUGAAACUGGCAGACUAGAGUACUGUAGAGGGGGUAGAAUUUCAGGUGUAGCGGUGAAAUGCGUAGAGAUCUGAAGGAAUACCGGUGGCGAACGGCGGCCCCCGUGGACAGAUACUGACACUCAGAUGCGAAAGCGUGGGAGCAAACAGGAUUAGAUACCCCUGGUAGCGACUGA
rnacentral:rRNA from 1 species